rnacentral:rRNA from 1 species
AACGCUGGCGGCGUGCCUAACACAUGCAAGUCGAACGCGAAAGCCCCGCAAGGGGCAAGUAGAGUGGCAAACGGGUGAGUAACACGUGGGUGACCUGCCUUCGAGCGGGGGAUAACGUCCCGAAAGGGACGCUAAUACCGCAUGACAUCCGGUUUUUGAAGAAGCCGAGAUCAAAGCUGCGGAUCGCAAGACGUAGCACUCGAAGAGGGGCCCGCGCCUGAUUAGCUAGUUGGUGGGGUAACGGCUCACCAAGGCGACGAUCAGUAGCCGGCCUGAGAGGGCGGACGGCCACACUGGGACUGAGACACGGCCCAGACUCCUACGGGAGGCAGCAGUGGGGAAUUGUUCGCAAUGGGCGCAAGCCUGACGACGCAACGCCGCGUGGAGGACGAAGACCUUCGGGUCGUAAACUCCUUUCGAUCGAGACGAACGGCCUCCGGGUGAACAAUCCGGAGGAGUGACGGUACCGAGAGAAGAAGCCCCGGCUAACUCCGUGCCAGCAGCCGCGGUAAUACGGGGGGGGCAAGCGUUGUUCGGAAUUACUGGGCGUAAAGGGCUCGUAGGCGGCCAACUAAGUCAGACGUGAAAUCCCUCGGCUUAACCGGGGAACUGCGUCUGAUACUGGAUGGCUUGAGUUUGGGAGAGGGAUGCGGAAUUCCAGGUGUAGCGGUGAAAUGCGUAGAUAUCUGGAGGAACACCGGUGGCGAAGGCGGCAUCCUGGACCAACACUGACGCUGAGGAGCGAAAGCCAGGGGAGCAAACG